rnacentral:rRNA from 1 species
GAUCCUGGCUCGGGAUGAACGCUGGCGGCGUGCUUAACACAUGCAAGUCGAACGGGAAUUACUUUAUUGAAACUUCGGUCGAUUUAAUUUAAUUCUAGUGGCGGACGGGUGAGUAACGCGUGGGUAACCUGCCUUGUACAGGGGGAUAACAGUUAGAAAUGACUGCUAAUACCGCAUAAGCGCACAGAGCUGCAUGGCUCAGUGUGAAAAACUCCGGUGGUAUAAGAUGGACCCGCGUUGGAUUAG